UGCGUGGCGCAGCUACAGUGACCAGGUUAUGACGGAGUCAUAUCUCGAUUCGCCCAUCGUGGUCUGGUCACCCUGCCUGCCCACGUG
rnacentral:pre_miRNA from 1 species